AAUAAUGUGAUGAUUUUGAUAUCGCCCCAGUCUGAAACCUAUGUUGAUUGAUUAUUCUGAUUGAU